UCAAACUUGGUCAUUUAGAGGAAGUAAAAGUCGUAACAAGGUUUCCGUAGGUGAACCUGCGGAAGGAUCAUUAAAAAGGAAUUUACACAUGAAUCUCCUCUUUUUUAAGUGGAAGUUCAAAUGUAAACUCUUGUGCACUUGAUUUUUUGGUAGUCGUUUCCUUUUUUCGAAAAGAGAAAGGGGGAAUGGUUCCUCUGAAAAGGAACCAGAAGAUUACCAAAAGGUUUAAAACUCUUAAAAAUAUUUUGUCGUGUUAUUUUUUACAAAUAACAUAAUGUCUGAUGUGUUUGGUUAUGAACUUGUUUUAUAAUUAAAAUUACAACUUUUGACAACGGAUCUCUUGGCUCUCGCAUCGAUGAAGAACGCAGC
rnacentral:misc_RNA from 1 species